AGACCAUAAUGGGGGCACUAUCUUAGCAUACUCUUGAAUCUGUCUCAUGCUUCGAAUUGUGAUUCUGAGUCUAUCUGUUUGAAGCUUGCAAUUAAAUUCCUCAUGUGU